rnacentral:rRNA from 1 species
UACGUAGGGUGCAAGCGUUGUCCGGAAUUAUUGGGCGUAAAGAGCUCGUAGGCGGUUUGUCGCGUCUGCUGUGAAACGCGAGGCUCAACCUCGCGCCUGCAGUGGGUACGGGCAGACUAGAGUGCGGUAGGGGAGAUUGGAAUUCCUGGUGUAGCGGUGGAAUGCGCAGAUAUCAGGAGGAACACCGAUGGCGAAGGCAGAUCUCC